rnacentral:rRNA from 1 species
UACAGAGGGUGCGAGCGUUUAAUCGGAAUUACUGGGCGUAAAGCGCGCGUAGGCGGCUUUGCAAGUCGGGUGUGAAAUCCCCAGGCUUAACCUGGGAACUGCAUUCGAGACUGCAUUGCUAGAGUAUGGGGAGAGGGAAGUGGAAUUUCCGGUGUAGCGGUGAAAUGCGUAGAUAUCGGAAGGAACAUCAGUGGCGAAAGCGACUUCCUGGACCAAUACUGACGCUCAUGUGCGAAAGCGUGGGGAGCAAACAGG